AGAAUGUUUCUUUUGCGGUCGCACGCAAUCAAUACAACUUUCAACAACGGAUCUCUUGGCUCUCGCAUCGAUGAAGAACGCAGCGAAAUGCGAUACGUAAUGUGAAUUGCAGAAUUCAGUGAAUCAUCGAAUCUUUGAACGCACCUUGCGCCCCUUGGCAUUCCGAGGGGCACACCCGUUUGAGUGUCGUGAAAUCUUCAAAAAUCCUUUUUUCUUUGAACCAUUGUGGUCGGGAAAAGGAUUUUUGGACUUGGAGGUUUAAUGCUCGCCCUUUCUUUCGAAAGUGAGCUCCUCUCAAAUGAAUUAGUGGGGUCCGCUUUGCUGAUCCUUGACGUGAUAAAAUGUUUCUACGUUUUGGGUUUAGCACUGUCCCUUGGAUGCCUGCUCCUAACUGUCUCAAUUGACAAUGAUGGUGCUCUGGUCACUGCCGUCUACAUCGGCGGGAGGCUGGACCCACAAAAAGAAAACCUUGACCUCAAAUCGGGUGAGACUACCCGCUGAACUUAAGCAUAUCAAUAAGCGGAGGAA
rnacentral:rRNA from 1 species